rnacentral:rRNA from 1 species
GUACUGUGCGAACGUUAUUCGGAAUCACUGGGCUUAAAGGGUGCGUAGGCGGCUAUUCAAGUCGGAUGUGAAAUCUCUCGGCCUAACCGAGGAAUUGCGUUCGAAACUGAAUAGCUUGAGUGAGAUAGGGGUGUGCGGAACUUCCAGUGGAGCGGUGAAAUGUGUUGAUAUUGGAAGGAACGCCGGUGGCGAAGGCGGCACACUGGGUCUCAACUGACGCUGAGGCACGAAAGCCAGGGUAGCGAACGGGAUUAGAUACCCCGGUAGUCCUGGCUGUAAACGAUGAGUACUAGACGGGAGGAGCUUCGGUUUCUCCGGUCGCAGCGAAAGCAAUAAGUACUCCGCCUGGGGAGUAUGGUCGCAAGGCUG